rnacentral:rRNA from 1 species
UACGUAGGUGGCAAGCGUUGUCCGGAUUUAUUGGGUUUAAAGGGUGCGUAGGCGGUCUAUUAAGUCAGUGGUGAAAUAUGGCAGCUUAACUGUCAAGGUGCCAUUGAUACUGAUGGACUUGAGUGAAGUCGAGGUUGGCGGAAUUGACGGUGUAGCGGUGAAAUGCGCAGAUAUCGGGAGGAACACCGGUGGCGAAGGCGGUUCUCUGGGCCUUACCUGACGCUGGAGGAGCGAAAGCGUGGGGAGCGAACAGG